GGAGACAGCUGAGGCCCGCGGAGAUCUGGGGAAGAACUGGCUCCGGCGCAGGGAUUUCAGCACAGGGCUUGACACACAGUGAGGCCCACUGCAUGGUGGCGGCCUCCUUCGAAGCCUUCCACCCUGCGAGACCGAGUCACACAUGUCGUGGUGGCAUU
rnacentral:sRNA from 1 species